rnacentral:rRNA from 1 species
GACGAACGCUGGCGGCGUGCCUAAUACAUGCAAGUAGAACGCUGAAGGAGGAGCUUGCUCUUCUGGAUGAGUUGCGAACGGGUGAGUAACGCGUAGGUAACCUGCCUGGUAGCGGGGGAUAACUAUUGGAAACGAUAGCUAAUACCGCAUAACAGUAGAUGUUGCAUGACAUUUGCUUAAAAGGUGCAAUUGCACCACUACCAGAUGGACCUGCGUUGUAUUAGCUAGUUGGUGGGGUAACGGCUCACCAAGGCGACGAUACAUAGCCGACCUGAGAGGGGGAUCGGCCACACUGGGACUGAGACACGGCCCAGACUCCUACGGGAGGCAGCAGUAGGGAAUCUUCGGCAAUGGACGGAAGUCUGACCGAGCAACGCCGCGUGAGUGAAGAAGGUUGUCGGAUCGUAAAGCUCUGUUGUAAGAGAAGAACGAGUGUGAGAGUGGAAAGUUCACACUGUGACGGUAUCUUACCAGAAAGGGACGGCUAACUACGUG